rnacentral:rRNA from 1 species
UACGGAGGGAGCUAGCGUUGUUCGGAAUUACUGGGCGUAAAGGGCGCGUAGGCGGCGAGGUAAGUCAGACGUGAAAUCCCCCGGCUUAACCGGGGAAUUGCGUUUGAUACUGCCAUGCUUGAGGCCAGGAGAGGAGAGUGGAAUUCCCAGUGUAGCGGUGAAAUGCGUAGAUAUUGGGAGGAACACCGGUGGCGAAGGCGGCUCUCUGGACUGGUACUGACGCUGAGGCGCGAAAGCUAGGGGAGCAAACAGG